UUUCGCAAUGCCCGAAAGGGUGACGAAGCGACGCCGCGUGCGGGAAGAAGGCCCUCGGGUUGUAAACCGCUGUCAGGAGUUAAGAAAUAUAGAGAUGUUAAUAGCGUCUCUAUUUGACGAAGGCUCCAGAGGAAGCCACGGCUAACUCUGUGCCAGCAGCCGCGGUAAUACAGAGGUGGCAAGCGUUGUUCGGAAUUAUUGGGCGUAAAGAGCACGUAGGCGGCCCUGCAAGUCAGUUGUGAAAGCCUUCCGCUCAACGGAAGAAUGGCAGCUGAUACUACAGGGCUAGAGUACGGGAGGGGAGAGUGGAACUUCUGGUGGAGCGGUGAAAUGCGUAGAUAUCAGAAGGAACGCCGGCGGCGAAAGCGACUCUCUGGACCGAAACUGACGCUGAGUGUGCGAAAGCUAGGGGAGCAAACGGGAUUAGAUACCCCGGUAGUCCUAGCCGUAAACGAUGGGCACUAAGUAGAGGGGUUUUA
rnacentral:rRNA from 1 species